rnacentral:rRNA from 1 species
AUACGGAGGGUGCAAGCGUUAUCCGGAAUCAUUGGGUUUAAAGGGUCCGUAGGCGGGCAAAUAAGUCAGAGGUGAAAUCCCACAGCUCAACUGUGGAACUGCCUUUGAUACUGUUUGUCUUGAGUUAUAGUGAAGUAGAUAGAAUAUGUAGUGUAGCGGUGAAAUGCAUAGAUAUUACAUAGAAUACCGAUUGCGAAGGCAGUCUACUAACUAUUGACUGACGCUAAUGGACGAAAGCGUGGGGAGCGAACAGGAUUAGAAACCCCGGUAGUCC